rnacentral:rRNA from 1 species
AGGCUCAGGACGAACGCUGGCGGCGUGCUUAACACAUGCAAGUCGAGCGGUAAGGCCCUUCGGGGUACACGAGCGGCGAACGGGUGAGUAACACGUGAGCAACCUGCCCCUGACUCUGGGAUAAGCGGUGGAAACGCCGUCUAAUACCGGAUACGACCUUUCAGCUCAUGCUGGAGGGUGGAAAGUUUUAUCGGUCAGGGAUGGGCUCGCGGCCUAUCAGCUUGUUGGUGGGGUAAAGGCCUACCAAGGCGAUUACGGGUAGCCGGCCUGAGAGGGCGACCGGCCACACUGGGACUGAGACACGGCCCAGACUCCUGCGGGAGGCAGCAGUGGGGAAUAUUGCACAAUGGGCGAAAGCCUGAUGCAGCGACGCCGCGUGGGGGGAUGACGGCCUUCGGGUUGUAAACCUCUUUUACCACCAACGCAGGCUCCACGUUCUCGUGGGGUUGACGGUAGGUGGGGAAUAAGGACCGGCUAACUACGUGCCAGCAGCCGCGGUAAUACGUAGGGUCCGAGCGUUGUCCGGAAUUAUUGGGCGUAAAGAGCUCGUAGGCGGCGUGUCACGUCUGCUGUGAAAGACCGGGGCUUAACUCCGGUUCUGCAGUGGAUACGGGCAUGCUAGAGGUAGGUAGGGGAGACUGGAAUUCCUGGUGUAGCGGUGAAAUGCGCAGAUAUCAGGAGGAACACCGGUGGCGAAGGCGGGUCUCUGGGCCUUACCUGACGCUGAGGAGCGAAAGCAUGGGGAGCGAACAGGAUUAGAUACCCUGGUAGUCCAUGCCGUAAACGUUGGGCGCUAGGUGUGGGGACUUUCCACGGUUUCCGCGCCGUAGCUAACGCAUUAAGCGCCCCGCCUGGGGAGUACGGCCGCAAGGCUAAAACUCAAAGGAAUUGACGGGGGCCCGCACAAGCGGCGGAGCAUGUUGCUUAAUUCGACGCAACGCGAAGAACCUUACCAAGGUUUGACAUCACCCGUGGACCUGUAAAGAUACAGGGUCAUUUAGUUGGUGGGUGACAGGUGGUGCAUGGCUGUCGUCAGCUCGUGUCGUGAGAUGUUGGGUUAAGUCCCGCAACGAGCGCAACCCUUGUUCUAUGUUGCCAGCACGUCAUGGUGGGGACUCAUAGGAGACUGCCGGGGUCAACUCGGAGGAAGGUGGGGACGACGUCAAGUCAUCAUGCCCCUUAUGUCUUGGGCUGCAAACAUGCUACAAUGGCCGGUACAAUGGGCGUGCGAUACCGUAAGGUGGAGCGAAUCCCUUAAAGCCGGUCUCAGUUCGGAUUGGGGUCUGCAACUCGACCCCAUGAAGGUGGAGUCGCUAGUAAUCGCGGAUCAGCAACGCCGCGGUGAAUACGUUCCCGGGCCUUGUACACACCGCCCGUCACGUCAUGAAAGUCGGCAACACCCGAAACUUGUGGCCUAACCCUUCGGGGAGGGAAUGAGUGAAGGUGGGGCUGGCGAUUGGGACGAAUC